rnacentral:rRNA from 1 species
UAGGAAUCUUCCACAAUGGAACGAAAGUCUGAUGGAGCAACGCCGCGUGAGUGAAGAAGGGUUUCGGCUCGUAAAGCUCUGUUGGUAGUGAAGAAAGAUAGAGGUAGUAACUGGCCUUUAUUUGACGGUAAUUACUUAGAAAGUCACGGCUAACUACGUGCC